GCUGGGCGUGGUGGAGCAUGCCUGUAAUCCCAGCUACUUGGGAGGCUGAGGCAAGAGAAUCACCUGAACCCAGGAGGUGGAGGCUGCAGUGAGCCGAGAUAGCGCCAUUGCACUCCCGCCUGGGUGACAGAGUGAGAUUCUGUCUCAA
rnacentral:SRP_RNA from 2 species